AAAACAUCCUCAAGUCCAAGUGGCUUGGUCAUGGAGGAAGAUGGCAGCAUCCCCUCUGGAAUCUCUCAGCAGUAGCUACAAAGAUCUCUGGUGUGAUAGCACUUCUUCACUUGAAGGUCUUUGUGUGCUCUCGCUGUACAGAACGCUCCCCCAGCUUUUUGAAC
rnacentral:misc_RNA from 1 species